GGACCCGCACAAGUAGUGGAGCAUGUGGUUUAAUUCGAAGAUACGCGCAGAACCUUACCAACACUUGACAUGUUCGUCGCGACUUUAAGAGAUUAAAGUUUUCGGUUCGGCCGGACGAAACACAGGUGCUGCAUGGCUGUCGUCAGCUCGUGUCGUGAGAUGUUGGGUUAAGUCCCGCAACGAGCGCAACCCUCACUUUUAGUUGCCAUCAUUUAGUUGGGCACUCUGAAAGAACUGCCAGUGAUAAGCUGGAGGAAGGUGGGGAUGACGUCAAGUCCUCAUGGCCCUUACGUGUUGGGCUACACACGUGCUACAAUGGUAUCUCAACAGGAAGCAAGACUGCGAAGUUAAG
rnacentral:rRNA from 1 species